rnacentral:lncRNA from 1 species
UGCUGCCCCUGCCAUGUUCCUGCCCAUGCAGAUCCCCCACGGCGCCGUUUGACCACCAGCAGCGAUAGACUUUCGGUUCCUGUUGUCAUCUGCAUCAUCCUGGGGGCCCUCGUGUGGCUGCUCCUGGCCCUCCUGGCUGGGAAGAUGCAAAGUGCCAGGGCUCGGCGCAGAGGCUCCGGGAGAGGUGGGGAGCCCUUCCCUGAGGCCGUGUACGAGGAGAUCACUUACAGCCUGGCGUGGGAGAAGCGGCCGAGGUUCAGUCUCUCAGAUGUCCCUGUCCUGCCCGGAGGUAACCCAGCAGAUGGCUAUGAUGAUGCUGGGGAGGUUUCUGACCCUGGGGAGGAUCCUGUCCCUGGGCAGAGGGACUGGGAAGUGCCCAGGACACCACAGGAAGGAGAUGGGUGCAGGGAUGCAGCCACAGGUGAGAGGGCAAUGCAGCACUGCCACUUCCUAGGUGCCAACCCCAGGCCUAGGAGAAUCCAUUCCAUAUUGAAAGCCUGACCUUCUCCACAUGGAGAACCUGCCCUGGGAUAUUUUGUGGGGGCUGGGAGAAUGGGCUGAAUGUCUCAGGCUGGUGAGGAUGAAGAAGGUGAUAAACAGCCCAAAGGGGCACCCCACAGGCCCAACCACAGCAGCCUGCCUUGAUGCUUACAGGGGGAAGCCUGCACUCCCGGAGAAGUGCUGGGGUCCGUGGAGCUGAAGGAGACACCUCGUACCCUGUCCUGGGGACCACGGGCUAUGACGAUGUUGAAGAGGUGUCUCUGGCAUGUCCCCGUGAGGACACCCAGGAUGUGACACCAGAGCCCCGUGCACAAGAAUUCCAGAGCCCCAGGCCAGCAGAGCCCAGCCCUGCUGAGCAGCUGGGUACAGCCGAGAGGAAGGAGAGCUCAGUGCCACUGGGAGAGCCGUGAGUGCCAGGGAACAGUCUACCUUUUCCAGCAGGCAGCAGACACACAUGGGUAUUUCC